rnacentral:rRNA from 2 species
CUGCGGCCUAUCAGCUUGUUGGUGAGGUAAUGGCCCACCAAGGCGAUUACAGGUACGGGCUCUGAGAGGAGAAGCCCGGAGAUGGGUACUGAGACAAGGACCCAGGCCCUAUGGGGCGCAGCAGGCGAGAAAACUUUGCAAUGUGCGAAAGCACGACAAGGUUAAUCCGAGUGAUUUCUGCUAAAGGAAUCUUUUGUUAGUUCUAAAUAUACUAGUGAAUAAGGGGUGGGCAAGUUCUGGUGUCAGCCGCCGCGGUAAAACCAGCACCUCAAGUGGUCAGGAGGAUUAUUGGGCCUAAAGCAUCCGUAGCCUGUUCUAUAAGUUUGCGGUUAAAUCUAUGCGCUCAACGUAUAGGCUGCCGUAAAUACUGUAGAACUAGGGAGUGGGAGAGGUAGACGGUACUCGAUAGGAAGGGGUAAAAUCCUUUGAUCUAUUGAUGACCACCUGUGGCGAAGGCGGUCUACCAGAACACGU